rnacentral:rRNA from 1 species
GACGAACGCUGGCGGCGUGCCUAAUACAUGCAAGUCGAACGCUGAGGCGAGGAGCUUGCUCUUCUUUGGUGAGUUGCGCACGGGUGAGUAACGCGUGGAUAACCUGCCUUGUAGCGGGGGAUAACUAUUGGAAACGGUAGCUAAUACCGCAUAACAUUGUAUGACACAUGGCGUUUAUUUAAAAGGCGCAAUUGCUCCACUACAUGAUGGACUUGCGUCGUAUUAGCUGGUAGGUGAGGUAAUAGCUCUCCUAGGUGAAGCUAGGGUGCCGACCUGAGAGGGGGGACAGCCACACUGGGACUGUGACACGGCCCAGACGCCCUAGGGUAGGAGCAGGAGGGAAACUUGGGGCAUGGGGGCAAACCAGAGCGAACAACGCCGCGGUGGGGAAGAAGGUUUUCGGGUCGUAAAUCUCUGUUUUAGGGGAAGAAACAGUGUUAGAGUGUAACGUUCACACAGUGACGGUAACUGAUCAGAAAGCGACGGCUAACUACGUG